GACGAACGCUGGCGGCGUGCCUAAUACAUGCAAGUUGAGCGCUGAAGGUUGGUACUUGUACCAACUGGAUGAGCAGCGAACGGGUGAGUAACGCGUGGGGAAUCUGCCUUUGAGCGGGGGACAACAUUUGGAAACGAAUGCUAAUACCGCAUAAAAACUUUAAACACAAGUUUUAAGUUUGAAAGAUGCAAUUGCAUCACUCAAAGAUGAUCCCGCGUUGUAUUAGCUAGUUGGUGAGGUAAAAGCUCAACAAGGCGAUGAUACAUAGCCGACCUGAGAGGGUGAUCGGCCACAUUGGGACUGAGACACGGCCCAAACUCCUACGGGAGGCAGCAGUAGGGAAUCUUCGGCAAUGGACGAAAGUCUGACCGAGCAACGCCGCGUGAGUGAAGAAGGUUUUCGGAUCGUAAAACUCUGUUGGUAGAGAAGAACGUUGGUGAGAGUGGAAAGCUCAUCAAGUGACGGUAACUACCCAGAAAGGGACGGCUAACUACGUG
rnacentral:rRNA from 1 species